rnacentral:rRNA from 1 species
UACGUAGGGGGCAAGCGUUGUCCGGAAUCAUUGGGCGUAAAGAGCGUGUAGGCGGCUUGGUAAGUCCGCUGUGAAAGUCCAGGGCUCAACCCUGGAAUGCCGGUGGAAACUGCCAAGCUAGAGUCCGGAAGAGGCGAGUGGAAUUCCUGGUGUAGCGGUGAAAUGCGCAGAUAUCAGGAGGAACACCGGUGGCGAAGGCGGUUCUCUGGGCCUUACCUGACGCUGAGGAGCGGAAAGCGUGGGGAGCGAACAGG